CGUUAGCUCAGUUGGUAGAGCAGUUGACUUUUAAUCAAUUGGUCGCUGGUUCGAAUCCAGCACGGC
rnacentral:tRNA from 1 species